AUGUGUCUCUCGUCUCUAGGGGAGCCACACGUGUUGUCUCAAGUCGUCUCUAGGGACUCACACGUGUGUCUCGUGUCUCUAGAGGGAACCCACACGUGUGUCUCUCGUCUCUAGGGGACCCCCGUGUGUCUCAGUCGUCUCUAGUGGACCCACACGUGUUCUCAGUCGUCUCUUAGGGGACCCACACGUGUGUCUCUAGGGGCCUCACAUGUGUCUCUAGGGCCCUCACAUGGUGUCUCUUAGGGGCACCUCACAUGUUGUCUAUCGUCUCUAGGACCCAACGUGUGUCUCAGUCGUCUCUAGGGGACCACACAUGUGUCUCAGUCGUCUCUAGGGGCCCUCACAUGUGUCUCUCGUCUCUAGGGGCCCUCACAUGUGUCUCAA
rnacentral:lncRNA from 1 species